rnacentral:rRNA from 1 species
AGUGAACGCUGGCGGUAGGCCUAACACAUGCAAGUCGAACGGCAGCACAGUAAGAGCUUGCUCUUACGGGUGGCGAGUGGCGGACGGGUGAGGAAUACAUCGGAAUCUACUUUUUCGUGGGGGAUAACGUAGGGAAACUUACGCUAAUACCGCAUACGACCUACGGGUGAAAGCAGGGGAUCUUCGGACCUUGCGCGAUUGAAUGAGCCGAUGCCGGAUUAGCUAGUUGGCGGGGUAAAGGCCCACCAAGGCGACGAUCCGUAGCUGGUCUGAGAGGAUGAUCAGCCACACUGGAACUGAGACACGGUCCAGACUCCUACGGAAGGCAGCAGUGGGGAAUAUUGGACAAUGGGCGCAAGCCUGAUCCAGCCAUACCGCGUGGGUGAAGAAGGCCUUCGGGUUGUAAAGCCCUUUUGUUGGGAAAGAAAAGCAGCAGGUUAAUACCCCGCUGUUCUGACGGUACCCAAAGAAUAAGCACCGGCUAACUUCGUG